rnacentral:rRNA from 1 species
CCUACGGGAGGCAGCAGGCGCGCAAAUUACCCAAUCCUGACACGGGGAGGUAGUGACAAUAAAUAACAAUACCGGGCGCUUUAGUGUCUGGUAAUUGGAAUGAGUACAAUCUAAAUCCGUUAACGCAGAUCCAAUUGGAGCGGCAAGUCUGGUGCCAGCAGCCGCGGUAAU